CACAAGUCCACACGCACAUAUUUUCUCACCAUACCGCCAUACAUGCACAGUUGCGUAUCUCUCGCCUUCUCUAUCGCGUACACCUGCUCUCUACACAAGCUAGGGAGGAAAGCAGCGUGUCCAGCGCACAUACAAAACCCCAGUGUGCACGCGAAGGGGUCUCCAGUGGCAUCGCUCGCCUCUGCUGUCGCCGCCCUCAAUCGCCAUCACCCCGCCAAGUUGAAGGAGAAGCAUUGGCCAACACGUUUGCAUCAAGAGCAGUAACCAUGUCGGCUCUAGCAAAGAAGAUGAUGGAAAAGUACGGGUGGAAGGAAGGCGAGGGACUUGGCAAGGAGCGCUCCGGCAUUAAGUCUUACGUGAAGGUGGCUCGCCGCGACCCUCACAUCGCCACCGGCCUUGGCCACGCCGCUGACCCUGCGCAGGGCGGCAGCUUGGCUUCGACGCACGCCGUCGAACUCGACGCCAUCUACAGCCAGCUCCACAAAGAGACGAGGAAGCGACAGCGGCAGUCGAACAAGGCGCGCGUAGACCAAGGUGAUACCUCUGAAGAUGAGGUAGACAAUGGGGGCGAGUUGAGUGACGUGAGCUCCACUAGCAGCGGUGCCAGCAGCAGUAGCAGCGCGGACAGAAAGUCCGAAGGAAAGAUGGCAGUCGCGGCUCGUGCCGCAGUGAAGCGGCAGCACCGCACACCAUCGUCUUCCCCCUCGAACAGUGGCAACGACGGUGAUGAUCGUACGGACAGCAAGCGGUCGAAGGGCGAGCACAUCGGCGAUGUCACUCGUAUGUCCGACAAGGAGCUCUUCCAGCGCUGCGGUGGGGUACGCCUCGGCCGUGCAGGUCGCCAUCGCCUCUUCGAUGGGAAGCUGAAGCGCAUACAGGACUCCAGCUAAGUGAAGCAAGCAAAAGAAGAGGGGCGAGCAGGGGAGGGUCUUCCCGCUCAAGCCUAUCCGCGGCGGCUAGACGGUGUCAUGUGUGUCUCUGGGAAUGGGGGCGUGCGUAAGCAGAAGUGAAGUACGCACGACCGCCUCCUCCUCCGUGGCUGUCCCCUCGCUGCCGCCCCAAUGAUCCCCACGAAGUAGUCAUCCGCUUUUUUUUGUCUUGCUCUAACUCGACUAAUCGGCCUCCUGUCGCCCGUGCACCUAUGUGUGGAAAGGACAUGGGGAUGAGCCGGGGAGCGGCACCGCAUGCGUCACAUGCGCUAGCGUACGUGCUGCACAGCCCGUCCUAGUUCUCCCCCUCCCCGCCUCGCCUCGUCCGCCACCUCUUCCCUUUCUUCUCCUACCUGUGCGGCAUGUCGGGCUCACCUCACCAAUGAAAAACACACACGAGAAAUGGUGCAGAAGGAGCGCUACGGUGAUGGAGGAAUGAUGAGCUUACGCUCUUGCCUCGUCCUUGCUCUGAAACUCACUCUCUCGUUCCUCGAUAGUAUGUUUGCAGCACGUUGCAGAUGAAGUCGCAGAUCGCACGUCAUCUGCCUCCCCUCCCCUCCCCCCGCUCCCCAAUCCUCCUGCCCCUCGCAUGUGAGAGGAGGUGUCUCUAUCCUGUCUGCGCCCUUCAGCAUUCCUCACUCAGUUCGAAGGAUCAGAGGGACACGCAGGGUGCACAUGCCACACCCUUGGAGCGUGCUGCUGUGGAUACGUGCACACUAUUCUGCCCCCUCCCGGCCUCCCACUCCCUUCCUCAGGCAGUUCACGCCGCCAGGGCAAACGAAAAAGGAGGCGAAAGGGGUGCGAGGAGGGAGGAAGGGAGGGGGGGCGCUGUUCCUUCCACAUAUAUAGCACAUGCCUCUUUCUCUUUUUUUUUAACAACCAUCGACACACGGUCUCCCCCUCUCUGCCUCACCCACACACACGUGGCAACGCCUUUUGCUGUGAUGGUGGUGGUCGCCUCACCUCUUUGCUUUUUUUUUCGCUCCCCAG
rnacentral:misc_RNA from 1 species